UGGCGAACGGGUGAGUAACACGUGGGCAAUCUGCCCUUCACUCUGGGACAAGCCCUGGAAACGGGGUCUAAUACCGGAUAACACUCUGUCCCGCAUGGGACGGGGUUAAAAGCUCCGGCGGUGAAGGAUGAGCCCGCGGCCUAUCAGCUUGUUGGUGGGGUAAUGGCCUACCAAGGCGACGACGGGUAGCCGGCCUGAGAGGGCGACCGGCCACACUGGGACUGAGACACGGCCCAGACUCCUACGGGAGGCAGCAGUGGGGAAUAUUGCACAAUGGGCGAAAGCCUGAUGCAGCGACGCCGCGUGAGGGAUGACGGCCUUCGGGUUGUAAACCUCUUUCAGCAGGGAAGAAGCGAAAGUGACGGUACCUGCAGAAGAAGCGCCGGCUAACUACGUGCCAGCAGCCGCGGUAAUACGUAGGGCGCAAGCGUUGUCCGGAAUUAUUGGGCGUAAAGAGCUCGUAGGCGGCUUGUCACGUCGGAUGUGAAAGCCCGGGGCUUAACCCCGGGUCUGCAUUCGAUACGGGCUAGCUAGAGUGUGGUAGGGGAGAUCGGAAUUCCUGGUGUAGCGGUGAAAUGCGCAGAUAUCAGGAGGAACACCGGUGGCGAAGGCGGAUCUCUGGGCCAUUACUGACGCUGAGGAGCGAAAGCGUGGGGAGCGAACAGGAUUAGAUACCCUGGUAGUCCACGCCGUAAACGUUGGGAACUAGGUGUUGGCGACAUUCCACGUCGUCGGUGCCGCAGCUAACGCAUUAAGUUCCCCGCCUGGGGAGUACGGCCGCAAGGCUAAGACUCAAAGGAAUUGACGGGGGCCCGCACAAGCAGCGGAGCAUGUGGCUUAAUUCGACGCAACGCGAAGAACCUUACCAAGGCUUGACAUAUACCGGAAAGCAUCAGAGAUGGUGCCCCCCUUGUGGUCGGUAUACAGGUGGUGCAUGGCUGUCGUCAGCUCGUGUCGUGAGAUGUUGGGUUAAGUCCCGCAACGAGCGCAACCCUUGUUCUGUGUUGCCAGCAUGCCCUUCGGGGUGAUGGGGACUCACAGGAGACUGCCGGGGUCAACUCGGAGGAAGGUGGGGACGACGUCAAGUCAUCAUGCCCCUUAUGUCUUGGGCUGCACACGUGCUACAAUGGCCGGUACAAUGAGCUGCGAUGCCGCGAGGCGGAGCGAAUCUCAAAAAGCCGGUCUCAGUUCGGAUUGGGGUCUGCAACUCGACCCCAUGAAGUCGGAGUUGCUAGUAAUCGCAGAUCAGCAUUGCUGCGGUGAAUACGUUCCCGGGCCUUGUACACACCGCCCGUCACGUCACGAAAGUCGGUAACACCCGAAGCC
rnacentral:rRNA from 1 species